rnacentral:rRNA from 1 species
GACGAACGCUGGCGGCGUGCUUAACACAUGCAAGUCGAACGCUGAACCCGCUUCGGUGGGGGAUGAGUGGCGAACGGGUGAGUAACACGUGGGCAACCUGCCCCCGGCUCUGGGAUAACUCCAAGAAAUUGGGGCUAAUACCGGAUGUGACCGCUGGCCGCAUGGUCUGGUGGUGGAAAGGGUUUCCGGCUGGGGAUGGGCCCGCGGCCUAUCAGCUUGUUGGGGGGGUAGUGGCCUACCAAGGCGACGACGGGUAGCCGGCCUGAGAGGGUGACCGACCACACUGGGACUGAGACACGGCCCAGACUCCUACGGGAGGCAGCAGUGGGGAAUAUUGCGCAAUGGGCGGAAGCCUGACGCAGCGACGCCGCGUGGGGGAUGACGGCCUUCGGGUUGUAAACCUCUUUCAGCAGGGACGAAGCGCAAGUGACGGUACCUGCAGAAGAAGCACCGGCCAACUACGUG